GUUUUGCCAAGAGCACACUCUCUCCCUUAUUUUACCAAGCUAUAUAUACAAUGGAGAAGUGUUACUUUCUGAAUACUGAGCCAAUGACCAGUGCUCAAAGCACUGAGUCUCCCUGGUCCUAGAGUGGAAGAAGGCAUUUUGUGCAGCCAUACAGACUGCACAGCCACUGAGCUAAAGUGGAGAGAGGAACAAAUCCGAGGGAAAAGAAAAAAGGCUAUAACCCAGCUCUCUACAGCAGUGCACUGAAAAGUGAUGUGUGAUGUGAAGCAAGGUGAGGGGAAUCAUGUUCACUUCACCACAGACACUAAAGUAUUCUCUGGGACAACUAUGCAGGACAAGAGGCACAGGAGGCCAGGACUUUGUAGAGAGCUCCCAGGAAUUUGGUUCUUCCUUGGAGUCAGAAUUUUCAGGGAUGUUUUCCAGCAG